GAUGAACGCUGGCGGCGUGCCUAAUACAUGCAAGUCGAGCGAACGGACGAGAAGCUUGCUUCUCUGAUGUUAGCGGCGGACGGGUGAGUAACACGUGGAUAACCUACCUAAAAGACUGGGAUAACUUCGGGAAACCGGAGCUAAUACCGGAUAAUAUUUUGAACCGCAUGGUUCAAAAGUGAAAGACGGUCUUGCUGUCACUUAUAGAUGGAUCCGCGCUGCAUUAGCUAGUUGGUAAGGUAACGGCUUACCAAGGCAACGAUGCAUAGCCGACCUGAGAGGGUGAUCGGACACACUGGAACUGAGACACGGUCCAGACUCCUACGGGAGGCAGCAGUAGGGAAUCUUCCGCGAUGGGCGAAAGCCUGACGGAGCAACGCCGCGUGAGUGAUGAAGGUCUUCGGAUCGUAAAACUCUGUUAUUAGGGAAGAACAUAUGUGUAAGUAACUGUGCACAUCUUGACGGUACCUAAUCAGAAAGCCACGGCUAACUACGUG
rnacentral:rRNA from 1 species